rnacentral:tRNA from 1 species
UCCGAUAUGGUCUAGUGGCUAGGAUUUGCCGCUCUCAUAGAGAGUAAGCUUCUGUCUUAAGAACCGGCAAGGCCCGGGUUCGAUUCCCGGUGUCGGAA